UUGUCAAUGAUGAUUUUUCCACCAUGUUUGAGAGAAUAAUGAAACUAUUCGAAACAUGCACUACCAUCUGAUGACAG